rnacentral:lncRNA from 1 species
GGGGUAUAGGGAAGGUAGGGGAGAGGAGGGGGUAUAGGGAAGGUACGGGAGAGGAGGGGGGACUUACUCCAUGUCAGGCAGCCUCCAAGUCUACCCUCACCAACUGACCGUGUAAUCUGAUUCAUUAUGAUAUAGGAUCAGGACCCUCCUCUCCAUGUAAUCUGAUUCAAUAUGAUCUAGGAUCAGGUCCCACCUCUCCAUGUAAUCUGAUUCAUUAUGAUCUAGGAUCAGGUCCCCCCUCUCCAUGUAAUCUGAUUCAUUAUGAUAUAGGAUCAGGUCCCCCCUCUCCAUGUAAUCUGAUUCAUUAUGAUCUAGGAUCAGGUCCUUCCUCUCCAUGUAAUCUGAUUCAUUAUGAUCUAGGAUCAGGUCCCCCCCCUCUCCAUGUAAUCUGAUUCAUUAUAAUCUAGGAUCAGGUCCCCCCCUCUCCAUGUAAUCUGAU